AACGGCUGGCGGCGUGCCUAAUACAUGCAAGUCGAACGGUCUUUCUAUGGAAGCUUGCUUCCACUGAGAAGAUAGUGGCGAACGGGUGAGUAACACGUGGGUAACCUGCCCAUAAGAGGGGGAUAACAUCCGGAAACGGGUGCUAAUACCGCAUAGUUUUCUUGAUCGCAUGAUCGGGAAAGGAAAGACGGCCUUUGUGCUGUCGCUUAUGGAUGGACCCGCGGCGUAUUAGUUAGUUGGUGAGGUAACGGCUCACCAAGACGAUGAUACGUAGCCGACCUGAGAGGGUGAUCGGCCACAUUGGGACUGAGACACGGCCCAAACUCCUACGGGAGGCAGCAGUAGGGAAUCUUCCGCAAUGGACGAAAGUCUGACGGAGCAACGCCGCGUGAGUGAAGAAAAGGUUUUCGGAUCGUAAAACUCUGUUGUCAGAGAAGAACAAGUUGGAGAGUAACUGCUCCAGCCUUGACGGUAUCUGACCAGAAAGCCACGGCUAACUACGUGCCAGCCGCAGC
rnacentral:rRNA from 1 species